CCUACGGGGCGCAGCAGUGAGGAAUAUUGGUCAAUGGACGAGAGUCUGAACCAGCCAAGUAGCGUGAAGGAUGACUGCCCUAUGGGUUGUAAACUUCUUUUAUAUGGGAAUAAAACGUUCCACGUGUGGGAUUUUGUAUGUACCAUAUGAAUAAGGAUCGGCUAACUCCGUGCCAGCAGCCGCGGUAAUACGGAGGAUCCGAGCGUUAUCCGGAUUUAUUGGGUUUAAAGGGAGCGUAGGUGGAUUGUUAAGUCAGUUGUGAAAGUUUGCGGCUCAACCGUAAAAUUGCAGUUGAAACUGGCAGUCUUGAGUACAGUAGAGGUGGGCGGAAUUCGUGGUGUAGCGGUGAAAUGCUUAGAGAUCACGAAGAACUCCGAUUGCGAAGGCAGUUCACUGGACUGCAACUGACACUGAGGCUCGAAAGUGUGGGUAUCAAACAGGAUUAGAUACCCUUGUAGUC
rnacentral:rRNA from 1 species